rnacentral:lncRNA from 1 species
AUUGGCUAAUAUCUCAAACAUGCCUCAAAUUGAGGAACUAAGAAGGUAGUAUGUAAACAAAAUAUCUCUGUGCAGUGAUAAGUGACCUGUUUCAAUUCUUACCAAGUGACUGAGCUUAUUCAUUUGUGAUGAUUUGAAGACCAUAGAAAGGUGUUAACUCAAAACUGUUAUCAAAUGCAUGCUAAGAUUAUGGAGGGUGGGGUUUGAACACCAAAAAAUACAAUCACAGAUGUGAAAAUAUUCCCUUGAAUUUGACAGUUGUAGGAAAUAAAUUCUACUUUUUAUUGCAAUAAAAAAAAUUCUGAUUCAUCAACAUUCAUCUUUGGUGUUUGAAAGAACAAUUAUUUUUUUCAUUUGGUGUUUCUAUAGAGUAUUUUGGAAAAAUGGUUGCCAUCUCAAACACUC